GGGCCAGGUGCUGUAAACUUUAUCAUAGAUCAUGGAGAGCUGGAUUUUGUGUUUGUCCAAGAUAGGAAGGUUAUCCAUCUUUUGAAUCCUGAUUGUAAAUCUGCUCAACGACUCAAAGCAAUGGUGUCCUUCACUUCAUUCACAGAGGAAGAGAAAGAUAAGGCCAUCAGCAU